UGACGUGCUUGCACUGAAUGAGAUUUUAACACGAAGUGAGUGGCGGACGGGUGAGUAACACGUGGGUAACCUGCCCAGAAGCAGGGGAUAACACCUGGAAACAGAUGCUAAUACCGUAUAACAGAGAAAACCGCCUGGUUUUCUUUUAAAAGAUGGCUCUGCUAUCACUUCUGGAUGGACCCGCGGCGCAUUAGCUAGUUGGUGAGGUAACGGCUCACCAAGGCGAUGAUGCGUAGCCGACCUGAGAGGGUAAUCGGCCACAUUGGGACUGAGACACGGCCCAGACUCCUACGGGAGGCAGCAGUAGGGAAUCUUCCACAAUGGACGCAAGUCUGAUGGAGCAACGCCGCGUGAGUGAAGAAGGGUUUCGGCUCGUAAAGCUCUGUUGUUAAAGAAGAACGUGGGUGAGAGUAACUGUUCACCCAGUGACGGUAUUUAACCAGAAAGCCACGGCUAACUACGUGCCAGCAGCCGCGGUAAUACGUAGGUGGCAAGCGUUAUCCGGAUUUAUUGGGCGUAAAGCGAGCGCAGGCGGUCUUUUAAGUCUAAUGUGAAAGCCUUCGGCUCAACCGAAGAAGUGCAUUGGAAACUGGGAGACUUGAGUGCAGAAGAGGACAGUGGAACUCCAUGUGUAGCGGUGAAAUGCGUAGAUAUAUGGAAGAACACCAGUGGCGAAGGCGGCUGUCUGGUCUGUAACUGACGCUGAGGCUCGAAAGCAUGGGUAGCGAACAGGAUUAGAUACCCUGGUAGUCCAUGCCGUAAACGAUGAUUACUAAGUGUUGGAGGGUUUCCGCCCUUCAGUGCUGCAGCUAACGCAUUAAGUAAUCCGCCUGGGGAGUACGACCGCAAGGUUGAAACUCAAAAGAAUUGACGGGGGCCCGCACAAGCGGUGGAGCAUGUGGUUUAAUUCGAAGCUACGCGAAGAACCUUACCAGGUCUUGACAUCUUCUGCCAACCUAAGAGAUUAGGCGUUCCCUUCGGGGACAGAAUGACAGGUGGUGCAUGGUUGUCGUCAGCUCGUGUCGUGAGAUGUUGGGUUAAGUCCCGCAACGAGCGCAACCCUUAUUACUAGUUGCCAGCAUUCAGUUGGGCACUCUAGUGAGACUGCCGGUGACAAACCGGAGGAAGGUGGGGACGACGUCAAAUCAUCAUGCCCCUUAUGACCUGGGCUACACACGUGCUACAAUGGAUGGUACAACGAGUCGCGAAACCGCGAGGUUUAGCUAAUCUCUUAAAACCAUUCUCAGUUCGGACUGUAGGCUGCAACUCGCCUACACGAAGUCGGAAUCGCUAGUAAUCGCGGAUCAGCAUGCCGCGGUGAAUACGUUCCCGGGCCUUGUACACACCGCCCGUCACACCAUGAGAGUUUGUAACACCCAAAGCCGGUGGGGUA
rnacentral:rRNA from 1 species